rnacentral:rRNA from 2 species
UCUUGGGUCAUUUAGAGGAAGUAAAAGUCGUAACAAGGUCUCCGUAGGUGAACCUGCGGAGGGAUCAUUACACAAAUAUGAAGGCGGGCUGGAACCUCUCGGGGUUACAGCCUUGCUGAAUUAUUCACCCUUGUCUUUUGCGUACUUCUUGUUUCCUUGGUGGGUUCGCCCACCACUAGGACAAACAUAAACCUUUUGUAAUUGCAAUCAGCGUCAGUAACAAAUUAAUAAUUACAACUUUCAACAACGGAUCUCUUGGUUCUGGCAUCGAUGAAGAACGCAGCGAAAUGCGAUAAGUAGUGUGAAUUGCAGAAUUCAGUGAAUCAUCGAAUCUUUGAACGCACAUUGCGCCCUUUGGUAUUCCAAAGGGCAUGCCUGUUCGAGCGUCAUUUGUACCCUCAAGCUUUGCUUGGUGUUGGGCGUCUUGUCUCUAGCUUUGCUGGAGACUCGCCUUAAAGUAAUUGGCAGCCGGCCUACUGGUUUCGGAGCGCAGCACAAGUCGCACUCUCUAUCAGCAAAGGUCUAGCAUCCAUUAAGCCUUUUUUUCAACUUUUGACCUCGGAUCAGGUAGGGAUACCCGCUGAACUUAAGCAUAUCAAUAAGCGGAGGAA